GAUGAAGAACGUAGCGAAAUGCGAUACGUAAUGUGAAUUGCAGAAUUCAGUGAAUCAUCGAAUCUUUGAACGCACCUUGCGCCCCUUGGCAUUCCGAGGGGCACACCCGUUUGAGUGUCGUGAACAUCCUCAACCUCCUUGGUUUUUAUCGAACCAAGUAGGAUUGGAAUUUGGAGGUUUUCUGCUGGCCUCCUCUGAAGCCAGCUCCUCUUAAAUGUAUCAGUGGGAUCCGCUGUGCUUAGAUCCUCGACGUCGAUAAGAUGUUUCUACGUCUUGGGUUUUUCGCGCAAAGGACCUGCUUCUAACCGUCCCCAUCGGGGACAACCUUUGAGCCGAUCACCCUUCACGGGGUGGGAAGCUUUUUGCCCCACGAAACCUUGACCUCAAAUCGGGUGAGACUACCCGCUGAACUUAAGCAUAUCAAUAAGCGGAGGA
rnacentral:misc_RNA from 1 species